AAGUCGUAACAAGGUUUCCGUAGGUGAACCUGCGGAAGGAUCAUUAAAGAAUACCCCCGUUUUUUGAAAUGGGUUCUGUUCCCAAACCGUGUAUACAUACCUUUGUUGCUUUGGCGGGCCUUGAGUAGGCUAUACGGCUCAUGCCGGCCCCCAGCGUUUUCUGCUAGGGGGCGGCUCGUGCCCGCCGGAGGUUCAACCAAAUUCUGUUUAUUAGUGAAGUCCGAGUAAAAAUUAAAUAAUCAAAACUUUCAACAACGGAUCUCUUGGUUCUG
rnacentral:misc_RNA from 1 species